rnacentral:rRNA from 1 species
UCAGGAUGAACGCUGGCGGCGUGCCUAAUACAUGCAAGUCGAGCGGAUGAUGAGGAGCUUGCUCCUCUGAUUUAGCGGCGGACGGGUGAGUAACACGUGGGUAAUCUGCCUGUAAGACGGGGAUAACUCCGGGAAACCGGGGCUAAUACCGGAUAAUAAAAAGAAACGCAUGUUUCUUUUUUGAAAGUCGGUUUCGGCUGACACUUACAGAUGAGCCCGCGGCGCAUUAGCUAGUUGGUGAGGUAACGGCUCACCAAGGCGACGAUGCGUAGCCGACCUGAGAGGGUGAUCGGCCACACUGGGACUGAGACACGGCCCAGACUCCUACGGGAGGCAGCAGUAGGGAAUCUUCGGCAAUGGGCGAAAGCCUGACCGAGCAACGCCGCGUGAGCGAUGAAGGCCUUCGGGUCGUAAAGCUCUGUUGUUAGAGAAGAACAAGUACGAGAGUAACUGCUCGUACCUUGACGGUACCUAACCAGAAAGCCACGGCUAACUACGUGCCAGCAGCCGCG